UUGGAGGGCAAGUCUGGUGCCAGCAGCCGCGGUAAUUCCAGCUCCAAUAGCGUAUAUUAAAGUUGUUGCAGUUAAAAAGCUCGUAGUUGAAUCUCGGGAUUGACACAUCGGUCGUGCCUUAAGGGGUAUGAACUGGUGUAGUCAAUUUCUCACCUUCUGGAGAACCGCGAUGCCCUUAAUUGGGUGCCGCGGGGAACCAGGACCUUUACUUUGAAAAAAUUAGAGUGUUUAAAGCAGGCAUUUUGCUUGAAUACAUUAGCAUGGAAUAAUAAAAUAGGACGGCAUGAUUCUAUUUUGUUGGUUUCUAGGAUCACCGUAAUGAUUAAUAGGGAUAGUUGGGGGCAUUAGUAUUCAAUUGUCAGAGGUGAAAUUCUUGGAUUUAUUGAAGACUAACUACUGCGAAAGCAUUUGCCAAGGAUGUUUUCAUUAAUCAAGAACGAAAGUUAGGGGAUCGAAGACGAUCAGAUACCGUCGUAGUCUUAACCAUAAACUAUGCCGACUAGGAAUCAGACGAUGUUAAUUUUUUAAUGACUCGUUUGGCACCUUACGGGAAACCAAAGUGUUUGGGUUC
rnacentral:rRNA from 1 species